UUUAUAGAAACCUUCAAAACCCACAACCACACUCUCUCUUUCCUCUCUCUCAAACCAUUUAUUUAUUUAGUCCAAAUACUCCCUCCUCUCUCUUCUCUCCUUUCCCUCUCUAUAUAGAAAAAUCUAGGGUUUGCAACAGUGAAUCUUCCUCAGUUUCUGAAAAUAUCUUGCUUAUAGCCAAAGUGCUUCAGAAGAGCAGUGUUUCCAAUUGUUGUUGAGUGAAGGAGGCUGCUGAAAUCUAGCGCCUGUGUGGUUUCCAUUUCUGGCUACAGUUUGAAAGAAUAGGUUUAUGAGAAGACAGAACACUUCUAAGAGAACAAGGAACAGUCUUGAGAGCACAUCAUUUUAUCAUGCUUUAAAAAUUAUUUGACUGAGUUUUCAAAGCUUUCCAAAAAUAUAAAACAUUUCUUUUUUAAAAAUUUGUUUCCUGUUUAUCUGAUCUCUAAGAGUGAAGAACAGAUACCUAUCCAAAAAAAAAAAAAAAAAGAGUGAAGAACAGGAAAUUUUUCUGAAAGAAUAGAAUCAAACAGCUGUAUACUUUAAUCCAAUAUAAGUAUUUUAGAAUGAGUUUUAGCAUGAUCUCAGAAUGUUGAAAUGUCCAAUCUUGGAGGGCUUUAUUUCUGAAAUAAGUGGCAUGAAAUAUGUUUUAAGCUGUGGAGGUUGAUUAAAACACUGAUUCUUAGAAGGCUAUGUAAAAUUCUUUGCAAAACAGAAAAAAGGUCAACAUCAAUCUUCUAGAAAGAUGGCUACUGAGAGUCCCAUUAGAAUGUUGGAAACAAGUGGAAAAUGGCCGUCUCCUAAGGAGACUGCAACGUUUGCACCAUCAUCCUCUAGCAUGGCUGCAGAAGAGUUGAGCUUGCUUCUGACGGACCAUAGGUUUUUUGGCAAUGGGAGGGAUGUUGCCCCUAAUCGAAGUGGGAGUGCUCCGCCAAGCAUGGAAGGUUCUUUUGCUGCCAUAGAAAACCUUAUGUCCUCACAGAACUCCAGCUUGAAUGCAAGGUAUGCAAAUCUAAACAGUUUAAUUGAAAACUGUGAGCCUGAGGAGCAGUUACGUGCUGACCCUGCUUAUUUAGCAUAUUACUGUUCCAAAAUCAACUUGAAUCCUAGACUUCCUCCACCUCUAAUCUCAUGGGAGAACAGGCGUCUGGUACGGCAUAUUGGUAGUUUUGGAAAUAGUCGGGGAUUAACUUCUUUAGAUGACAGUGGUGGCAGAUCGCUCCGUUUGUCUCAAGGUACCCUUUCUACCCACAAGGAAGAGUCUGAGGAUGACAGAUCACCUCAAAAACCUUCUGAUGAUUGGGAAGACCAAAGCAGUGCGUUCUGGUCUGGACAGGAUGCAGCUUUCCUGGCAGGCCAGCAUAGAAGUUCAGUCGAUUUGAUACAGGAUGAUUUCCCCAGAACUCCAUCGCCUGUAUAUAAUCAGUCUCGCUCCUUAAUACAUGGAUCACCAGGGAAAACAGUUGAACAUGAUGCAGAUAGCAGCUCCUUGCAUGAUUCCUCUGUCGGCACAUCAAAUUUAGUUGCAUCUACUCUGGUCACAGAUAAUUUGGGACCAUCAUCAAAUGCUAAUCCUGCAAUUGCCCCUGUAUCAAACUCAUUGUCUCUUGACGGGAACAAAAAAAACCAAGAAGAUUGGCACCACAACCGUCAGAAAAACUGGCUGCAACACCAGGUACAUCAACAACAGGGCAAUUCAUUUCAAGUUCAAGGUGCCAAGUCUCAAAUGGUUUUUCAAGGAACAAACCAUACAAACAUUAACAUGGAUCAAUAUCUCCAUGGUUCCUCCAAGUUUUCAACUGAGGCACAGCCUGUGCUUCAGUCAUCUGGAUUCACACCUCCACUCUAUGCAACUGCAGCAGCUUAUAUGACUUCAGCAAAUCCAUUUUACCCCAAUCUGCAACCUCCAGGUUUAUUUUCUCCACAGUACAGUUUUGGUGGAUUUGCUUUGAAUACUGCAGUUCUUCCUCCAUUUGUAGCUGGAUACCCUCCUCAUGGUGCUAUUCCCUUGGCUUUCGAUAACACUGUGGGUCCCAGCUUUAAUGCUCAAACUUCUGCUGUUUCAACCGGGGAAAGCAUCACCCAAGCAGUUGAUAUGCAACAUUUAAACAAGUUCUAUGGACAGCUUGGAUAUGCGCCACAGCCUUCUUUUGCUGAUCCUCUUUAUAUGCAAUACUUUCAACAGCCUUUUGGGGAUGUAUAUAGUGUUUCAGGUCAAUUUGAUCCACUGGUAUCUAGAGGUGGUGUUAUUGGGAGCCAGGUCAGUGCUUUUGAGACACACAGAGAGUCUGAUGUUGCUUCUUGCUCAGUUGACAAGAAACUCCAACAUCAGAGAAGUGGGGGCCUAACUAAUCUGAACCAUAGAAGAGGGGGCAUUGCAAGUCCUAAUUAUCAUGGAAGCCCAACAAACAUGGGUAUGUUGAUGCAAUUCCCAACCUCACCUCUUGCAAGUCCAGUUUUACCAAGAAGCCCAGCAGGUGUGACCUGUCUUCCUGGAGGGAGAAAUGAAAUAAGGUAUCCUCCUGGUUCUGGCAAAAAUGUAGGCAUAUUUUCUGGAUGGCAAGGUCAAAGAGGAUAUGAUGACCCAAAAACACAUUCUUUUCUUGAAGAGUUGAAAUCCGGAAAAGGUCGAAGAUUUGAGCUAUCUGAUAUUGCAGGGCAUAUUGUUGAAUUCAGUGCUGAUCAACAUGGAAGCCGCUUCAUUCAACAGAAAUUGGAAAAUUGUAGUGUUGAAGAGAAGGCAUCUGUAUUUAAAGAAGUACUCCCACAUGCUUCCAAAUUAAUGACUGAUGUUUUUGGUAACUAUGUUAUUCAAAAGUUUUUUGAACAUGGAAACCCUGAGCAGAGGAAGGAGCUGGCAAGUCAACUUGCAGGCCAGAUUUUGCCUUUAAGUUUGCAGAUGUAUGGUUGUCGUGUAAUUCAAAAGGCACUUGAUGUUAUUGAGCUUGAACAGAAAACACUUCUUGUCCGUGAGCUGGAUGGACAUGUUAUGAGAUGUGUCCGUGACCAAAAUGGAAAUCAUGUAAUACAGAAGUGCAUUGAGAGUGUUCCAACAGAGAAAAUUGGAUUCAUUAUCUCUGCUUUUCGUAGUCAUGUUGCAACACUUUCUACGCAUCCUUAUGGUUGCCGUGUCAUUCAGAGAGUUCUAGAACAUUGUACGGAUGAAUUACAAAGCCAAUUUAUUGUGGAUGAGAUCCUGGAAUCUAUCUGUUCCCUUGCUCAGGAUCAGUAUGGCAAUUAUGUUACUCAGCAUGUAUUGGAGAGAGGGAAGCCUCAUGAAAGAAGCCAAAUUAUUAACAAGCUGAAAGGUCAUAUUGUACAACUGAGUCAGCAUAAAUUUGCAUCAAAUGUUGUUGAGAAAUGUUUGGAGUAUGGUGACGUCAAUGAACGGGGACUCUUGAUUGAGGAGAUCAUUGGCCAUAAUGAAGGGAAUGACAAUUUAUUGAUAAUGAUGAAAGACCAAUUUGCUAAUUAUGUCAUUCAGAAGAUUCUUGACAUCUGUACUGAUAAUCAGCGGGAAUCAUUGUUUGUUCGUAUAAGAGUUCAUGCUCAUGCUUUGAAGAAAUACACUUACGGAAAACACAUUGUUUCUCGAUUUGAACAGCUAUUUGGAGAAGAAAUUGAGGCAUCGUGAUCAUGAUGAUGCGAAUGCAAUGGGAAUGCUCGGUUGAGUCCUGACAGUAGAGUCACAGCCAUGAAGGCGUUGCAGCUGGGUCUUCAAGGAGAUUGUCCUUUGACAUCAAUUUGUUAAAAUUGGUUCUAGAGAACAGAAGAAAAACAAAAAAAAAAAAAAAAGAAAGAAAGAAAAAGAAGUGGAAAUUGGGAGCUUUUUGCUGGAAAAUUAUGUCAUAAAUAGUGGGGUUAAUGUUGUAAAGUAGUAAAUAUAUGUCUUGAGCAGUGUAUGCAUUGGUAUAGACCAUAUAUAUGUAUAGGAUAUUGUUAAGAUUGCAAAAUAUUUGGGAGGGAGGGGAGUUAUUGGAUAAGAAAUUCCCCUUGAAUCUUGAUUCUCUGGAAUUUGUCUUUUA